GACAGAGGGUGCAAACGUUGUUCGGAAUUACUGGGCGUAAAGCGCGUGUAGGCGGCCCGGAAAGUCGGAUGUGAAAGCCCUGGGCUUAACCCAGGAAGUGCAUUCGAAACUCCCGGGCUUGAGUUCUGGAGAGGAAGGCGGAAUUCUCGGUGUAGAGGUGAAAUUCGUAGAUAUCGAGAGGAACACCGGUGGCGAAGGCGGCCUUCUGGACAGUGACUGACGCUGAGACGCGAAAGCGUGUGGAGCAAACAGG
rnacentral:rRNA from 1 species